AAAAAAAAAAAAAAAAAUGAGAGAACCAAUAUCUUGAAAACUUAAUCCAGAAAGCUUCAAACAAUUAAUGAACUCAUGUCUUGUAUGAAUUAAUAUUGCACCUACAUAACCUUAAUUCCUACAAAAGUAGAUAACUUUUUCUAUACAUAUUAAACCAAUCUUAAAUUCAUAGAGAGGCAAACACAUGCAGAAAGUAAACAACUUAGAUUUUCAUUUUAAGACAGGCAGUACCAACUUUCAUCAAACACAUGGAUAAGUUGGCAGAUACUACAAUUACUCCCGGAAGUUUUUCAAAAUUAUCAGCUUUGGCCAAAUCUUACUUGUAAAUGAAAUCCCAAGCACACCAAGACCAUCUCCAUCAUAACAAGUAUCACAUACAUCUUCUAUCUGCUAAUAUAUUACAGAAAUAGGGUGACAUCACAUAAACUACCUCUCUGGUGUAAAACUUCACAG
rnacentral:misc_RNA from 1 species